rnacentral:rRNA from 1 species
GUGGAUUAGAUACCCUGGUAGUCCACGCCCUAAACUAUGUCAACUAGUUGUCGGGUCUUAUUAGAUUUGGUAACGUAGCUAACGCGUGAAGUUGACCGCCUGGGGAGUACGGUCGCAAGAUUAAAACUCAAAGGAAUUGACGGGGACCCGCACAAGCGGUGGAUUAUGUGGAUUAAUUCGAUGCAACGCGAAAAACCUUACCUACCCUUGACAUGUCAGAAAAUUUUCAGAGAUGAAUUUGUGCCCGAAAGGGAAUCUGAACACAGGUGCUGCACGGUCGUCGACAGCU